rnacentral:rRNA from 1 species
AGACACGGCCCAGACUCCUACGGGAGGCAGCAGUGGGGAAUUUUCCACAAUGGGCGAAAGCCUGAUGGAGCAAUACCGCGUGAGGGAUGAAGGACCGUGGUUCGUAAACCUCUUUUCUUAAGGAAGAACACAAUGACGGUACUUAAGGAAUAAGCACCGGCUAACUCCGUGCCAGCAGCCGCGGUAAUACGGGGGGUGCAAGCGUUGUCCGGAAUGAUUGGGCGUAAAGCAUCUGUAGGCGGUCUCGAAAGUCGACUGUUAAAGCCCAGGGCUUAACUUUGGAAAAGCAGUCGAGCACUUCGGAACUCGAGUUUGGUAGGGGUAAAGGGAAUUCCUAGUGGAGCGGUGAAAUGCACAGAGAUUAGGAAGAACACCAAUGGCGAAAGCACUUUACUGGGCCAAAACUGACGCUGAGAGAUGAAAGUUGGGGGAGCAAAUAGGAUUAGAUACCCUAGUAGUCCCAACCGUAAACGAUGGAUACUAAAUGCUGUCAAAAACAGUGUUGCAGCUAACGCGUUAAGUAUCCCGCCUGGGGAGUAUGCUCGCAAGAGUGAAACUCAAAGGAAUUGACGGGAAUUGGCACAAGCGGUGGAUUAUGCGGUUUAAUUCGAUACACGAAGAACCUUACCAGGGAUUGACAUGCUUAGAAUUUCCGAGAGAUUGGAGAGUGUCUUUUUUCUGUUCUCAGAGAAAAGAAGCUAAGACACAGGUGGUGCAUGGCUGUCGUCAGCUCGUGCCGUGAGGUGUCGGGUUAAGUCCUUAAACGAGCGCAACCCUUGUCUUUUGUUACAACCUUUCGAGGACCUCAAAAGAGACUGCCGGUGUAAAUCGGAGGAAGGAGAGGAUGACGUCAAGUCAGCAUGCCCCUUACAUCCUGGGCUACACGCGUAAUACAAUGGCGAAGACAAUAGGACGCGAACCCGCGAGGGGGAGCAAAUCUACCAAACUUCGUCUCAGUUCGGAUUGAAGUCUGCAACUCGACUUCAUGAAGCCGGAAUCGCUAGUAAUCGCCAGUCAGCUAUAUGGCGGUGAAUACGUUCCCCAAUUUUGUACACACCGCCCGUCACAUGCUGGGAGCCGUCUUGUCCCGAAGACAGGUUGUGAACCUUCGAAGAAGGAAGCGAAUGUCAACGGUUGGGUCGGCGACUAAUAUGAAGUCGUAACAAGGUACGGGUACUGGAAGGUGUCCGUG